AUUGAACGCUGGCGGCAGGCCUAACACAUGCAAGUCGAACGAGUGGCGGACGGGUAAGUAAUGUCUGGGAAACUGCCCGAUGGAGGGGGAUAACUACUGGAAACGGUAGCUAAUACCGCAUACCAUCGGAUGUGCACAGAUGGGCUUAGUUAGGGGGUGGGGUAACGGCUAACAUAGGCGACGAGCCCUAGCUGGUCUGAGAGGAUGACCAGCCACACUGGAACGGGGACACGGCCCAGACUCCUACGGGAGGCAGCAGUGGGGAAUAUUGCACAAGGGGCGCAAGCCUGAUGCAGCCAGGCCGCGUGUAUGAAGAAGGCCUUCGGGUUGUAAAGUACUUUCAGCGAGGAGGCGUUACUCGCAGAAGAAGCACCGGCUAACUCCGUGCCAGCAGCCGCGGUAAUAC
rnacentral:rRNA from 1 species